rnacentral:rRNA from 1 species
CCCUUAGAUGUCCUGGGCCGCACGCGCGCUACACUGAUGCAUGCAACGAGUUCUAUCCUUGGCCGGAAGGCCUGGGUAAUCUGUGAACGUGCAUCGUGAUAGGGAUAGAUUAUUGCAAUUAUUAAUCUUGAACGAGGAAUUCCUAGUAAACGCAAGUCAUCAGCUUGCAUUGAUUACGUCCCUGCCCUUUGUACACACCGCCCGUCGCACCUACCGAUCGAAGGUAAUGAUGAGCCCUCAGGAUUGUGGCCUCGUCGCGUCAGCGUCUUGGCUGCGAGAAUCUGUGCAAAUCCCUACCUUUAGAGGAAGGUGAAGUCGUAACA